UCUACAAUAAUCAAAUACUACAUAUUAUCAAGUAAAGUAUUACCUUAAUCCAAAAUUUGGUGUAGAGCCGAGCGAAAUCAGGUAAGCUUGAUAUCGAAAUAACGGAUCUGACAAAUUCAUACGGUGCAACUUUGAUAGAAGAUCAUAGAGUAGCGACUGUUUCCAUUUGCAGCACUAAAAUCGUAGCCCGAACCCAAAGGUUUCCACUACCCGAACCCUUAAUUGUCUCCAGCUCCGGCGGUGGUUUUGCCGUCUUCAUCGGCGGUUUCCUUGUCAGAAACUUCUCUCGAUCGGUUGGUUUGUACGAUAGAGACGGUUGCAGAGCAGGUGGUCCGACCGAACCGGUGCUCAGCGUGCCGGAAGAGGGUCGAAAGGCAGGGAGAAAGGCAAUCGCGAGGGAGAAGUUUCAGAUCUCGCCUAGAGACUGGGAGCCCUAGCAUACGAGUGAUACUUAUUAUUUAAGUUUUCACUUCAGCUUCAUUUUUUAAACCUCCGUGUUUUACUCGAAUGACAACAUUUUUUAAAAAAAACGUUAUCUAAUUAACACCAAAAAAAUGCCCUUUUAAAUAGAUAACGUUUUUUCAUAUGUAUCUAUAACGUUUUUUUUAAAAUCGUUGUAAAAAAAAAUUACCAAACGUUGUGGUUUAAGUGUUGUCUAUUUACUAUUUUGUAGUAGUGAUUCUAUGUGUUUUCUAGGUGAGAUAAAGGCAUUAACGUGUAGUCCUUAUACCAGAAUACAACACAAAAACAACAACUUAGCCUAAACAUCAAACAUCAGCAAGAUCCAUGGCCUGCAAACACAUUGUCAGAGGUUACUGGAAUUCUGGGCUGCCCAGAAUUCAUUUUCCGUGAACGGUCAACCUACUUUGACCAAUCAUAUCAUGAUUUCUAGACACUAUCAGACCAUGAUUCCAAUUUCAGAAUAAAGACCACAGAACAUACUACAAGGUUGAAUAUUUAAAACACUAAACACGUUAACAUACACCGAUCUAUGAAGCCUGACAUUUGCUUGUCAACCACAUUUAAAAAUAUUUCUAGAUUUUUUUAAAACAUGAUUUUGAGCACUUUGAUGUUAUGGAUUCACUAUAUAGCAACCCAAAUCAUCAAGUGACAUCCUUAUACACUACUUUAAACAACAAACAACAAAAUCUAACAUCAAAUCCUAAGAUUUUUAUAAAGCUAAGGUUUAUACCUUUAUGCUCAAAUCCUUUGAUUCUGACCUCUAAUCAUGCUCUUGAUGAUCAAGAGACUUGUUUAGAGACUGAAAUACUUUGUAUUUUCGGAGGUUGGGAGAGAGAGAGAGAGUUGUUAGGAGCUUGGGUGAAAAAUGACCAACUUUUUAUGACUUUCUCUCUCUAAUUCUCUAAUAUAUCUAUUGGUGCAAUGAAUUCAGCUGAUAAGGUGGCUGAAUGCUGUGAAUUAAGUCACAUAGGGUGGUUAGAGUUGGUGAACAACUCUCAAUUUGCCAAGAUUUGCAAGCUAAGUCACAAUAAUGCAAAAAGGGUAUUAUAGUCAUUUCGCAUUUAAUUUUAAUGGCAUUUUGGACAUUGUCCAAACCCUUAGGGUUUAGGGUUUAGGUUAGGGUUUAGACCAUUUAGGGUUUAGGGUUUGGAACAUUUAGGGUUUACAAUUUAAUUUUCUAGAAUUUCUAAAUUUAGAUUUUCAAAAAUAGAAAAAAUAAUAUUUUAAAAUUAUAAUUAGAAUUUUCUAAUUAUAUUAAAAUUUCUUAAUCAUUACUUAAAUCUUGCUAAUUAGAUUUAAUAUAUCGUAAUUAAAAUUACUAAUUUUGCAGUUACGGUCAAAAUCACGGAUUAGGGUUUACAACCCAAAAAUUAGGGUUUCUAAUAUAAAAAUAAUUUUCUAAUUUAGAAAUUAGAUUAGGGUUUUUUCUAAUUACUAAUAACUUGAAAAUUAGGAUUAAUAUUUCCUAAUUAACAUUAGUAAGUUGUAUUUGAAUUCUGUACCAUGUAUCUGGCGACCCAAGAUGGGUGAUGUAUACCUAAUUUUGGGGGCGUCACACCAAGCACCUUUCUCUACACCACCUUUGUCACAGCAAGGUCUUCUUCCCAUCUUCUAAUCCCUCAUAUAAAUAAGGGAUUACUUUAUCCCAUGACUGUACUAAUCCCUCAUAAACAUAUCAGUUUUAAUCCCUUGAUAAUGGCUUGCAUUUCUUCUGCUAAAGACUUCAAUUGAAUCUGCAAGGAAGACCCUUAAGCAGCCAUUUUCUAGCAACAAUGUUUGAUAUUGGUAGUGAGAAAUGAAUAGAAUGCCAACCUUUGAUGCAUGUUCGAGACUAACAAGAUCCUCGUGGAAGUCUAAUAGAGCUGGAGACUUAGAUGCAAGAACCUGACAACAAAAAGUAAUGAGAUGAAAUAUUAACUCAUAAUUAUAACAAGAUUCCAACACCACCAAUAUGAGGGGAAAAGGACUGACGAAUAACAGGUAGUAAAGAGAAACAAUGGCUUGUUAUCAUGUGCUGGAAAAUUCUUUGUUUACUUCAUUACCAAUAAAUCCAACAGAAAUACGUGAAUAAUCUACUAGCAUAUGACAAUGAGAAGGCCAUUACAAUGACAAUGCAAUAUACUUGAAAGCAAAAUCCCAGUCAUCUUAUAAACAUAAUUAGAUACAGUACGCCUUAAUAAAGUAUAAUUCUUAGAAAUUAGGAAACAUCUCUUAUUAAGAGGAAGUGCAAAAAUUGACAAAAACAGAGCGAGGUGGUUGUUGAUUGCUGGGAUGAUUACAGAAACGCUAAGAAUAGACAAAAGGCUUAAAUUUUCAAAGUGCCCUAACAAGAAAAGAGGGGGAGGGGUAGGAUUAAGGGAGCCUGUGUGCUGCAAGGAAGAUUUUUUGCACAAUAAUGAAGACAACAAAGCUAAGAAAAUGGCUCUAAUAAAACAAGUCUUUUGCCUUUCCUAUGAAUUGAGAUAUAUCAGACACCGUAGAACACAAAAUUAGAUUCUUUGAGCAUAAAUCAAUUAGAUAAUAAAGAAUAAAAGAAUCAACAAGACAUUAUAGAAGAGAGAAACAAAAUUACAUUUUGAAUCAGCCGCAAACCCUAAAUGAAAAUUUUCAAAUAAUCAAAACUCUACAAUAAUCAAAUACUACAUAUUAUCAAGUAAAGUAUUACCUUAAUCCAAAAUUUGGUGUAGAGCCGAGCGAAAUCAGGUAAGCUUGAUAUCGAAAUAACGGAUCUGACAAAUUCAUACGGUGCAACUUUGAUAGAAGAUCAUAGAGUAGCGACUGUUUCCAUUUGCAGCACUAAAAUCGUAGCCCGAACCCAAAGGUUUCCACUACCCGAACCCUUAAUUGUCUCCAGCUCCGGCGGUGGUUUUGCCGUCUUCAUCGGCGGUUUCCUUGUCAGAAACUUCUCUCGAUCGGUUGGUUUGUACGAUAGAGACGGUUGCAGAGCAGGUGGUCCGACCGAACCGGUGCUCAGCGUGCCGGAAGAGGGUCGAAAGGCAGGGAGAAAGGCAAUCGCGAGGGAGAAGUUUUAGAUCUCGCCUAGAGACUGGGAGCCCUAGCAUAAGAGUGAUACUUAUUAUUU
rnacentral:lncRNA from 1 species